ensembl:snoRNA SNORD33 Small nucleolar RNA Z195/SNORD33/SNORD32 family
GCUGUCCGUGAUGAUUCCCUACAGUUAGUUAUUCGAGUUUAACGACCAUGAGAUUACUUUACAUGCACUACCAUCUGAGACACG